rnacentral:tRNA from 1 species
GCGCCGGUGGUGUAAUGGCGUAGAGCAUUCCCGCCCGGUUAGAGGGAGGUGCGGGUUCGAGUCUCGCCUGGCGCU